UGGGGAAUAUUGGACAAUGGGCGAAAGCCUGAUCCAGCCAUGCCGCGUGUGUGAAGAAGGUCUUCGGAUUGUAAAGCACUUUAAGUUGGGAGGAAGGGCAUUAACCUAAUACGUUAGUGUUUUGACGUUACCGACAGAAUAAGCACCGGCUAACUCUGUGCCAGCAGCCGCGGUAAUACAGAGGGUGCAAGCGUUAAUCGGAAUUACUGGGCGUAAAGCGCGCGUAGGUGGUUUGUUAAGUUGGAUGUGAAAGCCCCGGGCUCAACCUGGGAACUGCAUUCAAAACUGACUGACUAGAGUAUGGUAGAGGGUGGUGGAAUUUCCUGUGUAGCGGUGAAAUGCGUAGAUAUAGGAAGGAACACCAGUGGCGAAGGCGACCACCUGGACUAAUACUGACACUGAGGUGCGAAAGCGUGGCGAGCAAACA
rnacentral:rRNA from 1 species